rnacentral:misc_RNA from 1 species
AAGUUGUCUCCCGCUGGACCAUGGAGGAGCUGAUGAUUUACUGAAUAAAUUGAAGGAUAUGCCAAUGACUCUUACAGUUCUACAGAAAACUAGAAUAGGAAUGACAGUCAACAACUUCAGAAAGGCUGCAUCUAAAGAUGAGUUGGUAGUGCUCUCAAAGACACUGAUCAAGAGUUGGAAAAAACUUCUCUCCAGUGACUCAACGCCAUCAAAAUCAGACAAGAAGGAGAAAGAAAAGUCCUCUAACUCUCCAGAACAGACGGACAGUCCUUCAGAAAUGAUGGACGUCAAAGAAAGCCAGGGUAGUGAGCCAGGGAAAACCUUAAUGAGACAAGACUCUGAGGCGUCCAUUACCAAUGACCCUGUCAGAAUCAAGUGUCGAGAGCUUCUUGCCUCCUCACUUGUACUUGAUGAGGAAGUUAAAGUCCGCAUUCCCAAUGCUCAGUGUCCUAAAGAACUUGCAGCGAAGAUUGAAGAUUCCAUACAUUUGGAGUUUAAAAACACAGAUCAGAAAUACAAAGCUAGAAUAAGAAGCAGAGUGGCCAAUCUGAAAGACAAAAAAAAUCCCAAAUUGAAAGAAGGAGUCAUAAUGGGAUUAAUUCCUCCAGAGAGAAUCGCCAAUAUGUCAGCAGAGGAAAUGGCUAGUGAUGAGAUGAGACAGCUGAGGGCUAAAUUCACCAAAGAAUCGAUUGAUGAUCACCAGAUGUCCAGACAAGAGGGCACAGUCACAGAUCUGUUCAAGUGUGGCAAGUGUGGCAAGAAGAACUGUACAUACAAUCAGCUACAAACAAGAAGUUCUGAUGAACCUAUGACAACAUUUGUGUUCUGCAUGGAGUGUGGUAACAGAUGGAAGUUUUGUUAAAACAAGAAUACAGUUGUCAUUUGUGGAAAAGAAAAGAGCCAGAUUAAAAUAGAAAGGGGGGAACAGACGAUAAAAGAUGUGGAGUGACAAGCUUUAACUGUUUAUCAUGGGUUUGUGAUUCAGCAAUCUCCGGCAAAGUGAAAGUUGAUUAUGUCAGAACUGACUUGUCAUCAAGAUCAUCUGUAAAUAAACAUACUCACCAUUUUGUACCAAUUUCAAUCUUCAUGGAAAUUCAUUUCAUAUUACAUGUACCAUGUCUUAAGAAUUUCAUUUAAACAUUGGACUUGGUGGAAUUCACAUUGUGUGUUAUCCAAUUAAACUUUAAUUGUGUUGUCAAUUAUCCAUCCUGAGAAGUUUUGGGUUUUUAUUGUAACUUUGUGUGGAUUUUUUUUUUCAUUAUGGCUACAAGAUUGAAAGGAAAUAAUUUGGAUUUAGUUUUUCUGUUAACUGGACUUCAGCUUCUAGCCAGCUGCAGAUUGAAGAACCAGUAUUUAAAAUUGAUAUUGUUGAUAAGGGCUUUUCAAUUUUAAAGACUUUAAUGUACCGUUAUACAGGUUUGUUUUAAAACUUGUUAUCUAUUAAAAAACACAAAUCCUGAUGGUUUGUAUUUCCAACUUUAAUAUGACUUUGAUAUUUAACUUUGAUAUGUGAAUUUUUACUUUAUUAUAGAAAAUGUAAACCAUAACAUCCCAGUAGUUUCCGACAUGUUUAUAAUUUUCGUAAUGGAAAAAAGAUGUGUAUUAAAUUGUACUGUUGAAAUUUUUGUGCUUCUUUGGUUGGUCCUUGUACAGUAUUUUUACUUUAUUAUCCCUAAUUUAAUAUUUAUUAGGAACUGUUAGGUGAAGCAUUUUUGGGUUUUAUUGAUAUAUGUUCAUGCACUUUUUCCUUUCUGAUUUAUGUACGUGUUUGUAUUGUGAUAUCAAGCUACAGUAACCGAAAUUUGAAUUUCACAAUCAGUUCUUUUUUAAAAAGUGUUGGCAAAUAUCUCCCUUUUUUUGUUAAGAUUUAUCCUGUUGAUGCAAAUGAGAGAAUAUUUAAGAAAAUAAAGUUACAUUACAACUUGUUACCAAUAAAGGCGUGUCCAUUUGAGAAUC